rnacentral:rRNA from 1 species
GAUGAACGCUGGCGGCGUGCCUAAUACAUGCAAGUCGAGCGAACAGACGAGGAGCUUGCUCCUCUGACGUUAGCGGCGGACGGGUGAGUAACACGUGGAUAACCUACCUAUAAGACUGGGAUAACUUCGGGAAACCGGAGCUAAUACCGGAUAAUAUAUUGAACCGCAUGGUUCAAUAGUGAAAGACGGUUUUGCUGUCACUUAUAGAUGGAUCCGCGCCGCAUUAGCUAGUUGGUAAGGUAACGGCUUACCAAGGCAACGAUGCGUAGCCGACCUGAGAGGGUGAUCAGACACACUGGAACUGAGACACGGUCCAGACUCCUACGGGAGGCAGCAGUAGGGAAUCUUCCGCAAGGGGCGAAAGCCUGACGAAGCAACGCCGCGUGAGUGAUGAAGGUCUUCGGAUCGUAAAACUCUGUUAUUAGGGAAGAACAAAUGUGUAAGUAACUAUGCACGUCUUGACGGUACCUAAUCAGAAAGCCACGGCUAACUACGUG